rnacentral:rRNA from 1 species
CGACGGUAAGGCCCUUCGGGGUACACGAGUGGCGAACGGGUGAGUAACACGUGGGUGAUCUGCCCUGCACUUCGGGAUAAGCCCGGGAAACUGGGUCUAAUACCGGAUAGGACUGCGCGGUGCAUGCCGUGUGGUGGAAAGAUUUAUCGGUGCAGGAUGGGCCCGCGGCCUAUCAGCUUGUUGGUGGGGUAAUGGCCUACCAAGGCGACGACGGGUAGCCGGCCUGAGAGGGCGACCGGCCACACUGGGACUGAGACACGGCCCAGACUCCUACGGGAGGCAGCAGUGGGGAAUAUUGCACAAUGGGCGCAAGCCUGAUGCAGCGACGCCGCGUGAGGGAUGACGGCCUUCGGGUUGUAAACCUCUUUCAGCAGGGACGAAGCGCAAGUGACGGUACCUGCAGAAGAAGCACCGGCCAACUACGUGCCAGCAGCCGCGGUAAUACGUAGGGUGCAAGCGUUGUCCGGAAUUACUGGGCGUAAAGAGCUCGUAGGCGGUUUGUCGCGUCGUCUGUGAAAACCAGCAGCUCAACUGUUGGCUUGCAGGCGAUACGGGCAGACUUGAGUAUUUCAGGGGAGACUGGAAUUCCUGGUGUAGCGGUG